GUGCCAGCAGCCGCGGUAAUACGAAGGGUGCAAGCGUUACUCGGAAUUACUGGGCGUAAAGCGUGCGUAGGUGGUCGUUUAAGUCCGUUGUGAAAGCCCUGGGCUCAACCUGGGGACUGCAGUGGAUACUGGGCGACUAGAGUGUGGUAGAGGGUAGCGGAAUUCCUGGUGUAGCAGUGAAAUGCGUAGAGAUCAGGAGGAACAUCCAUGGCGAAGGCAGCUACCUGGACCAACACUGACACUGAGGCACGAAAGCGUGGGGAGCAAACAGGAUUAGAUACCCUGGUAGUCCACGCCCCAAACGAUGCGAACUGGAUGUUGGGUGCAAUUUGGCACGCAGUAUCGAAGCUAACGCGUUAAGUUCGCCGCCUGGGGAGUACGGUCGCAAGACUGAAACUCAAAGGAAUUGACGGGGGCCCGCACAAGCGGUGGAGUAUGUGGUUUAAUUCGAUGCAACGCGAAGAACCUUACCUGGCCUUGACAUGUCGAGAACUUUCCAGAGAUGGAUUGGUGCCUUCGGGAACUCGAACACAGGUGCUGCAUGGCUGUCGUCGGCUCGUGUCGUGAGAUGUUGGGUUAAGUCCCGCAACGAGCGCAACCCUUGUCCUUAGUUGCCAGCACGUAAUGGUGGGAACUCUAAGGAGACCGCCGGUGACCAGCCGGAGGAAGGUGGGGAUGGCGUCAAGUCAUCAUGGCCCUUACGGCCAGGGCUACACACGUACUACAAUGGUAGGGACAGAGGGCUGCAAGCCGGCGACGGUAAGCCAAUCCCAGAAACCCUAUCUCAGUCCGGAUUGGAGUCUGCAACUCGACUCCAUGAAGUCGGAAUCGCUAGUAAUCGCAGAUCAGCAUUGCUGCGGUGAAUACGUUCCCGGGCCUUGUACACACCGCCCGUCACACCAUGGGAGUUUGUCGCACCAGAAGCAGGUAGCUUAACCUUCGGGAGGGCGCUUGCCACGGUGUGGCUGAUGACUGGGGUGAAGUCGUAACAAGGUAACC
rnacentral:rRNA from 1 species